CAACAAGAACAGUAGAAGAGUUUCUGAACUCCGGUCGCCUCGGCAGUGGGCCAUUGGCCAGCAAAGUUGCGUGUUCCUAAACCCAUAGUUCAUACCGUGUCGUCUGGCAUGGACGUAGACCACUGUUGGGUACUGUGUCGCGUACAGCAAGAACCCUGUCCGCCCCGGCAGUGGGCCAUUGGCCAGCAAAGGCACACAGCGAUCGGACUGAGCAUAUCAAGUAGCCCCUCCUGUGACCCACAAGACCACACUCAUUCGGCCGAGGAGCCUGUCUGGACUUACGUUGAGAGUCCUGGCAGACAGUUUGUUUUUUCU